AAGACAUACUGAAUUGCAGAUUGACUUGUUCCACGUCAAACUGUCUUUACUGUCAAUAACUGUCAUGUAUUUAGCCAUUCUAACCUCAAAACAAUAAUUCUCUAUCAUUAUAAUUAACUCCCCAUAAUGAUUAUUUGUUUAGAUAAUUCAAGAAAUUAAUUACAAAAAAAUGUAGUUAUAUUCAAGACGACGUUUCUAAAAAAAUAAAAAUCAACAUCAAGAAUAUGCUUUACAAGAUGAUUAGCUGGCGUACUAAGAUAUACAAAAGCAAAAUUAUUUACAUGAGACGUAGCAAUGAGGUGCUAUAGAGUGGCACCAACCUCGAUGGUAAUAAUCGAUUUAGUGAUAGACGUGUCGGUGAUGGUGGACAUUGUAUGAUACACUGCAGCAGUUUCGGUGCAGAUGAAACUUGAUCUUCUGGACUAUCUAUUUCUUCGUUAUAGAUAAGACGCAUUAAUUCCAAUCUUUGACUUCAGGAUGAACGAACGGAUUUAAAAAAAUAAAAAUUAUGAAGAAAACUAGGAGUUACGCCAACCAACUUAUUCUAUGGAAACUAUUUGCCCCCAUUAUUAUCAACGCCCAAGAACCACAAGAGCAUCUCCAACUAGAUAGCAGCCGAAGACGGUUAAACAUUUUUUCCAUGCAGUAAUCACUGUCAAAUGAAAAGCCCCAGGAGUUGAAAAUAUUUGAAACUUCUGAUAGAAGAACACAAGAAGUUAGCAAAACAAUUUACACAACUCAGAAGACAUUCCAACGUUUCUAGCACUGGGAUUUAGUCAUAUGCUCCCAAAGAGUAUCGGGAGUGAUGACCCCUACCCAGUCACACUAUCAUAUAACUAUAACAGUGCCAAACCCAAUGAAUCCCCAACAUGAAAAACUUCCUCAGCAUAUCAAAAAAAGCCCAAGGAACUUUUGUUUUUGUAUCACUAACAGAACUUAUAGGCAAGUCAAAGAAAAUAA